CUGUGACAAGAUCGUAACGCCAUACUGCUAGUGAAACAAACAACUACGGUGAAACAAGUGGAAGUUUGGAGAAGGAAAGAGUGAACCUCUUAUAUGAAGUGAUGAAGAGGGAUAAUUGUGUUGUGGUUGCAGAGAAAAUGGGCAAAACCUUCUCUCUUUGCAGGCCCCUGCAAUUAAAGACAUCAUUGACCGAUGGCCUGCUUUAUUUGAUGCAACACAGAUGCAUGGUGACGUAGCCCUACACAUUAUCGCCAAUAAAUAAAUAAUGACAGCAUGA